rnacentral:tRNA from 1 species
GCUGGUAGAGUCAGUAAUUGAUACGCGGCUGAAAAUCGCGUGGUGCCUUUUGUGCUGCUAGCG